CGGCUCAGUAACACGUGGAUAACCUACCCUUGAGACGGGGAUAAACCCGGGAAACUGGGUAUAAUACCCGAUAGAUCUCGACUGCUGGAAUGCAUCGAGCUUGAAAGCUCCGGCGCUCAAGGAUGGGUCUGCGGCCUAUCAGGUAGUAGUGGGUGUAGCGUACCCACUAGCCUACGACGGGUACGGGUUGUGAGAGCAAGAGCCCGGAGAUGGAUUCUGAGACACGAAUCCAGGCCCUACGGGGUGCAGCAGGCGCGAAAACUUUACAAUGCUGGAAACAGCGAUAAGGGGACCUCGAGUGCCAGGUUACAAAUCUGGCUGUCGUGAUGCCUAAAAAGCAUUGCAUAGCAAGGGCCGGGCAAGACCGGUGCCAGCCGCCGCGGUAACACCGGCGGCUCGAGUGGUAACCGUUAUUAUUGGGUCUAAAGGGUCUGUAGCCGGCCGGAUAAGUCUCUUGGGAAAUCUGGCAGCUUAACUGUCAGGCUUUCAGGAGAUACUGUCUGGCUCGAGGCCGGGAGAGGUGAGAGGUACUUCAGGGGUAGGGGUGAAAUCUUGUAAUCCUUGAAGGACCACCAGUGGCGAANGCGUCUCACCAGAACGGACCUGAC
rnacentral:rRNA from 1 species